rnacentral:lncRNA from 1 species
ACCAUCUCACCACCACCACCAAAUCCAUCCUACAGCCCUUUCACAAGGAAAAUCCAAUGCCCUUGUGCCUUGGGGCAGAGAUCUAUCUGACCUACAUCUCCUAGAAUCAUUGGAAGGGCCUUAUAAAAGUCUUCUAGUUCAACUCCCCUGUUUUGAAUGAGAACGAACAAAUCCCACUUCACUUUCAUGCCGCUGAUUUUUGCCUCUUGGCACCACCAAAAUCAACCCCUCCUCAUGUGCUGCCACCUUUAUCCUUCAGAAUUCAUCCCAUGCCCAUCCCCGGCAGCCUGCAGGACCUCUCCAGCCUCUCCUUGCUGUGGAGGCAACCUCAGGCCAGGAGUUUCUUCCAUCAUGCAUGACUUGCAUGAGCACCACGCGUGCUCAGUUCUGAGCAGCAACCCUCAUCCCUUGCAUAGCUGGCUGUAAUGACUCAUCCUUCAGAUGAUGAGAUGGUAUCAAGCAUUUGGAAUCGGGAGCUUUUCAGAGAAAAACAGCUUUGCUGAGCCACAGCCCACCCCAUUGUGGUAGGUUUCCCCCCCCCCUCCCAUCUUCUGGAAUUUGCAGAGAGAUCUAUGUUUCAACUUCAGUUAUAUAGAAAACAUUUUCAUUUCCAGCUUCUGAAAAGACAUUAAGAAAUGUGAGAGCACAACGAAUUGCCAUCUGCCUCUCUCCAGGUCAUGAUGAGUUAACACAAUAGAAAGCAGAACAGUCAAAGGGUUUUGAGCACGAGAAGCAGAAAGAGGGUUUCCUGGCUUCACUGCCUCCAGAAUGGAGCAAAUUUUGCACACUGUGAGUUGAUAAAUUAAUGCUCGGAGUCUCUGCACAGUCUGUGCAAUGGAUCGACUGCUCUGCACACCCUCUCCGUGGGCAGUGCUCUUCCCAAGUGCUGCCAAUGCCGUUAUCAGGAAACGGAUCAGCUCUAUCUGAGAUAAAUUGCAUUUCCACCAAUUACAGCUUAAUUGUUGACAGAUGGGAACACAGAAGGGAGAUGCGUCGAGUCAUUAAGAGGACAGGUGUAUAGAAAAGUGCCAGAUUAAUUGUUCCAGCCCAUUAAAUCGUUGACCUUUCCGGCCUACCCUCAGAGCUGAAUUCAGAGCUCUCGGGAUCCUUCCAGCUCACAUACGAUGGCUGCGUUCACAAGAAAAGCACACAGGGGUGCUUUUAAAACACACACCCCAGACACAGACUCAUUAGCAGGACUCCUUUCUCAUUUAAAGCUGUUUUCUUACUGGAGUUUGUUUUCUUGGCUUUCCCAUGCACUCACACAUGGCUCCAAGGAGAAGCUUUCUCCCCAGAGCACGCAGACUUGCUGUACGU